AUUGAACGCUGGCGGCAGGCCUAACACAUGCAAGUCGAACGAGUGGCGGACGGGUGAGUAAUGUCUGGGAAUCUGCCCGAUGGAGGGGGAUAACUACUGGAAACGGUAGCUAAUACCGCAUACCAUCGGAUGUGCCCAUAUGGGAUUAGCUAGUAGGUGGGGUAAUGGCUCACCUAGGCGACGAUCCCUAGCUGGUCUGAGAGGAUGACCAGCCACACUGGGACUGAGACACGGCCCAGACUCCUACGGGAGGCAGCAGUGGGGAAUAUUGCACAAUGGGCGCAAGCCUGAUGCAGCCAUGCCGCGUGUAUGAAGAAGGCCUUCGGGUUGUAAAGUACUUUCAGCGAGGAGGCGUUACUCACAGAAGAAGCACCGGCUAACUCCGUGCCAGCAGCCGCGGUAAUAC
rnacentral:rRNA from 1 species